rnacentral:rRNA from 1 species
GAACUCGGCCAUAAGGGGACCGCCUGUUUAUCAAAAACAUGGCUCCCUGAGCAAUAUGGGGGGUCGUGCCUUCCCGGUGAGCUUGCGSGCUUAAACGGACGCGGUAAAGCGUGCUMAGGUAGCUAAAUUAUGSCCUAUUAAUUGUAGGUCCUGUGAAUGGUUUGACGAGUUUCCAACUGUCUCUAGYUUUUUUUGGCGAACUUGAAUUGSAUGYCCAAAUGCUUCCMUGGGYAACAAAGACGAUAAGACCCCGCGAAGUUAGAAAUUUAAGUUAUCGGUAAGUUCCAUGGCCUUCUCCGGACCAAUCGUUGAGGACCACUCGAACUUUUUGUUUCUSAAGGGGCUAAUACUAGCAGUUUKGGCUGGUUCCCUAUGGAGCAAAGCUACACUCCUCCACCGSGUAUCACCCAUGUGCUACGAGCCACUCCAUUCUCGUGUGAUUACCUCUMCAAGUSYUCCUCGCAUCCCCCUGCCCYKGCCCUGU